CCUACGGGUGGCUGCAGUGAGGAAUAUUGGUCAAUGGUCGCAAGACUGAACCAGCCAUGCCGCGUGCAGGAAGACGGUCCUAUGGAUUGUAAACUGCUUUUAUACAGGAAGAAACCCUCUCACGUGUGGGAGCUUGACGGUACUGUAUGAAUAAGCAUCGGCUAACUCCGUGCCAGCAGCCGCGGUAAUACGGAGGAUGCGAGCGUUAUCCGGAAUCAUUGGGUUUAAAGGGUCCGUAGGCGGUUUAAUAAGUCAGUGGUGAAAUCUGGUCGCUC
rnacentral:rRNA from 1 species